rnacentral:tRNA from 1 species
UCCUGCAUGGCUCAGUUGGUAGAGCAUGGAGCUUACAUCACCAGGGUUGUGGGUUUGAUUCCCAUGGGGGAA